rfam:Bacteroidia bacterium 43-41 SCNpilot_bf_inoc_scaffold_317, whole genome shotgun sequence.
GGGCUUGACCGGUUUUGACAGCGGGCAGAAGUGGUUUGUAAGCAUGCAGUGCGUUGUGGAUUAGCACUUUAAUAUCAAUCUUCAAAGCUAUAACUGGCAAUAAUAACAAUUACGCUCUUGCUGCGUAACCGAAGUACAGUAGGUUAAUCGCUUAAUCCCAGCCAAGGUGUUGGGACAAGACAUCACCCGGAAGCUGUGGCUUCGAAGCGUGCCGAUAAGGUGGUGCAGGCAAAUCGGAGAUAGGAUAGGGGAAGCUUUGGCUCCUUUCCGAAAAAUAAAAAGCUAAGGAUUGAGUUUGGUGGUUUCAGUCGCGCUCUCUCCCUACAAUUAAAAUGAGACUAAGCAUGUAGAAAGCGAAUUAAUUCCUCGUUUGGACGAGGGUUCGAAUCCCUCCAGGUCCACAG